GUCUCCAGGGAGGAUCUGGCAUCGCUGAAGGCCCAUCUCCAGAAGAUCCAGGAGCAGAGACAGCGAGCCGCCCACCCCCUUCCCGCAGCCUCCACCCCAGCUCCUGCAGAGCUGACAGCUCGACUGAAACUAGCAUGGGAGCUGGGGGCCAAGGACCAAGAUUCACAGAAUAGGGCAAACUCGUUCGGCAAACCUGCGAUCUCCAGGCUAUUAAAAUGGAGAAGGCCUUGGCUAACAUGGCUCUCAAGAUGUCUGAGAGGGGCAGGGAAGAGCGGAAGGAAUCUCCUGCGAAGCCCCCCCAGGCUGCCCCUCCCACUCCAGAACCCACACCAGCUGCUUCCAGUGCCCUCAAAGGGGUCUCUUAGUCCCUGCUCGACAGGAUCCGAGCGAAGGAGGCCCAGAAGCUGAAGGCCCUGAUCACCCGAAACCCGCAGCAGGAGCACCGCCUGCUGAUGAUGUCACGGCUGCCGGAUUUUGGGCGGAUCCUCCGCACUGUCUUUGUGGCUGAGAAGAAGCCGUCUCUCCUCGUGGAAACUGCCUGCAGCCGAGUCAUUGCCAGCUACCGCUCCCUCGUGACUGCAGGUGAGCUGGGGGCUUCAAGUAGUAUUCUACAGGGAUGGAAAUAAGACUCCCAUUGCAUUGCAGUUUGAUCCAUUCCAGGUUUUACUCUGUUUUAAUGACUUACCUGAGCUUGUUACUUGUACACUGUGACUCAUCAAAUCUUUCAUACAACUGCUACAAUAACAAUUAUAUGGCUCUUUGUUAAUUUGGGGACAUCCUUUAUCAAUGAACAUUGGAAAGAUAAAGGAAUCCGAGAGAUAAUCUAUUUGGGGGAAAAUACUAGGAUGGUAUUUAGAUCCUUCAACAGUUUAAUUUACAGGGUGGUGAAUCCAGAUUGUAUACUCAAAUUAGAAACUCACUUACAAUUAUUACGGUCCCAGAUUACAAUGCCCAGUAAUUCUUUUGGCAAAAAGAGCUAGUGUUUUUUUUAUGGAAA